rnacentral:pre_miRNA from 7 species
AUUUCAUUCAUUGUUCAUCAUGGAAAAUGGGUGCAUACUGUAAGAACCCAUUUCGGGGAUCCCCACUCUAGUUUCGGGAAUGAGAGAGCACCCAAAGAAACACGAGAAUCC